UACGUAGGCAGCGAGCGUUGUUCGGAAUUACUGGGCGUAAAGAGUGUGUAGGCGGUGCUCCCAGUCUGUUGUGAAAUCUCCCGGCUUAACUGGGAGGGUGCAGCGGAAACUAGAGUGCUAGAGGGUGGGAGAGGUAAGCGGAAUUCCUGGUGUAGCGGUGAAAUGCGUAGAUAUCAGGAGGAAUACCUAUGGCGAAAGCAGGUCUCUGGGCCAUCACUGACGCUGAGCUGCGAAAGCUAGGGGAGCAAACAGG
rnacentral:rRNA from 1 species